UGGGGAAUUGUUCGCAAUGGGCGCAAGCCUGACGACGCAACGCCGCGUGGAGGACGAAGAUCUUCGGGUCGUAAACUCCUGUCGAGCGGGAAGAACGCUUCCCGGGUGAAUAAUCCGGGGAGGUGACGGUACCGCUAAAGGAAGCCCCGGCUAACUCCGUGCCAGCAGCCGCGGUAAUACGGGGGGGGCAAGCGUUGUUCGGAAUUACUGGGCGUAAAGGGCUCGUAGGCGGCCAACUAAGUCGGAUGUGAAAUCCCCAGGCUCAACUUGGGAACUGCAUCCGAUACUGGAUGGCUUGAAUCCGGGAGAGGGAUGCAGAAUUCCAGGUGUAGCGGUGAAAUGCGUAGAUAUCUGGAGGAAUACCGGUGGCGAAGGCGGCAUCCUGGACCGGCAUUGACGCUGAUGAGCGAAAGCUAGGGGAGCAAACGGGAUUAGAUACCCCGGUAGUCCUAGCCCUAAACGAUGAAUGCUUGGUGUGGCGGGUAUCGAUCCCUGCCGUGCCGAAGCUAACGCAUUAAGCAUUCCGCCUGGGGAGUACGGUCGCAAGGCUGA
rnacentral:rRNA from 1 species